ACGAUCCCUAAGGAAAAAGUAGUGAGUUAAUUUCAUCCCUUGCUCAAGGAAGCAUGCAGACUAGCUGCUAAAUUGGCCCUUAAGCAGCCACUAGGCUUCCCUGGAAACAGCAUUUUGAUAAAUGGUUGCAUUAUUUUUGCACCUAUGGGUUAACACCACUAGGCAGCUAAGCACCACACAGCCACUCGCUUGCCUCCACACCUAGAUGGGAUAGGCAAAACCGAAAGGAACAGCAAAAGCAAGAAAAUGGAAGGGUUGAGAAUAAAAAUGUUUAAUAAGUGAGGGAGAAGUUUGGAAGAAGAGCAGAAGAAAACGAAACAAUGCAAGUGAUACAUAAGCACCACUCACCACCUCCCACAGAUAGACCAGUGGCCAGCAAGUUCUGAAGUAAUAGAUGGCCAGCCUUCCUAAAGUCCUCUUUCCCCUUUCAUUGCCGAGCAUGAUGUAUGUGGCAUGGAAUAUCUCUUUACCUAGUUUGGUUCAUCUGCCUGGCUGUGUGCCCUCCCAGCCCACUGUGAACUCCUCAACUCACUUUGGGGGCAGAGUGAGAGACAAAGAAGGUCCUGAUACUGUGCAAAUACUGUUCAGCAACAGCUAAAAUGUCAGUGUGUGAUCAUUGUUGCUUUGGCCACAAAUCUAAAACAUGUCACUAUAUGAGCUGCUAUGAAGAAAGAGUUAACUCUGUCCAAGCCAGGCCUGUAUCUCUGCAUCUGAUCUCACCAAAGUAAAGAGGUUUUUCAAGACACAGCAAUUCAGGUUACUUGAUCCCAGUGAAACCUUCAUUACUAACUACUUAACAGACUUUGUAGUCUUUGAAAACUCUAUCAGUAUCUAUAAAAUACUGGCAAAAAAUAAAGAGGCGCUGUGGAAGAUUGUGUUAGAAAAAUAUCUUUGCUGACUGUCAUCUUACAGUUGAAUUUUAAAUGGUUUUUAAAUCCACUUGCAGUACAGUAUGCUGUCUUGCAUCAGCCUAGGUUUUUACUUCAAAAUAAUCUCAAACACCAAGGACUCAAAUUUAGCAUUACAGAAUCUCCAACUGAAAUCCCCCAUCUGUAGGAGACAUUUUUAAAAUCUAUUAAAAUGGAAGCUGUUUUACAAAAGGUCAAAUGGUAUAGAAACAUACACUUUAUUGUAAUAAUGUUUCCUUCUGUCACACAUGCAAACAGUUUUUUUAAUUCCUAUGACAUAUCUAUGACCAUCUCCAAAGAGAAAAAGUGACAUUUCUGUUGUGGGUUCUGUAUCCAUAAUUUUCUAUCAGGAUUUUGGGCACAGAAUGUCAGCUGCUGAUAGGAAUCCCCUCUGGACUUUUCUUUGCUGCUCCAUUAGGCCAUGCAUAUCCUUUUCCAGCUCUAUCCUUCAUUAUCAAGCCAUUACAAACUACUUAAAAUAGCAAACACCAAGAUUGACCAAAGUUACAACAGUUCUGGCCGUACAGUCUGCAUCACCAAGCAGAAUAACUUCAUCCUGUUCAGGGUUUCUUACAGAAAACAGAGUUCAAGUCAGUAUCAGAGAGCAGCAGAACUGAAAUACAGUGCCCAAGUGAAUACAGAGUUCACCAAACAUUAGGCAAAAUUGUUUCUUAAACCAGUAAUACUAUAAAAACAAUAUGGCUUUAAGAUACUGUUUUAUACCUGGAAGAUGUUCCCAAAGCUGUGACUAAUGCUUGGAUUAAGCCUCCAAUAAAUACCCAUGGAUUCUUACGAGUGAUCACAAAGUAGAGAAGAGGUAGGACAA